rnacentral:rRNA from 1 species
CAGCAGCCGCGGUAAUACGAGGGGGGCGAGCGUUGUCCGGAUUUAUUGGGCGUAAAGCGAGCGCAGGCGGUUAGAUAAGUCUGAAGUUAAAGGCUGUGGCUUAACCAUAGUACGCUUUGGAAACUGUUUAACUUGAGUGCAAGAGGGGAGAGUGGAAUUCCAUGUGUAGCGGUGAAAUGCGUAGAUAUAUGGAGGAACACCGGUGGCGAAAGCGGCUCUCUGGCUUGUAACUGACGCUGAGGCUCGAAAGCGUGGGGAGCAAACAGGAUUAGAUACCCGUGUAGUCCCUGUCUCUUAUACA